rnacentral:rRNA from 1 species
CCUACGGGAGGCAGCAGUAGGGAAUCUUCCACAAUGGGCGAAAGCCUGAUGGAGCAACGCCGCGUGGGUGAAGAAGGUCUUCGGAUCGUAAAACCCUGUUGUUAGAGAAGAAAGUGCGUGAGAGUAACUGUUCACGUUUCGACGGUAUCUAACCAGAAAGCCACGGCUAACUACGUGCCAGCAGCCGCGGUAAUACGUAGGUGGCAAGCGUUAUCCGGAUUGAUUGGGCGUAAAGGGAACGCAGGCGGUCUUUUAAAUCUGAUGUGAAAGCCUUCGGCUUAACCGGAGUAGUGCAUUGGAAACUGGGAGACUUGAGUGCAGAAGAGGAGAGUGGAACUCCAUGUGUAGCGGUGAAAUGCGUAGAUAUAUGGAAGAACACCAGUGGCGAAAGCGGCUCUCUGGUCUGUAACUGACGCUGAGGUUCGAAAGCGUGGGUAGCAAACAGGAUUAGAUACCCCUUUAGUC